rnacentral:miRNA from 1 species
UGACUCAGAAGUCGGCUAUUUU